UUAAGUUCAGCGGGUAUCCCUACCUGAUCCGAGGUCAAGUCAUAAAAGAGCUUAAUGGACGCCGAUCCGCCAACCUCAACCGACGCAAAUGUGCUGCGCGAGAAGCUGGCAUGACCGCUGCCAAUGACUUUGGGGCGAGUCCACGCACUAGGCGGGACAGACGCCCAACACCAAGCAGAGCUUGAGGGUGUAAAUGACGC
rnacentral:misc_RNA from 1 species